AUACGGAGGGUCCAAGCGUUAUCCGGAAUCAUUGGGUUUAAAGGGUCCGCAGGCGGUCAAUUAAGUCAGAGGUGAAAGCCCAUCGCUCAACGAUGGAACUGCCUUUGAUACUGGUUGACUUGAGUUAUACGGAAGUAGAUAGAAUAAGUAGUGUAGCGGUGAAAUGCAUAGAUAUUACUUAGAAUACCGAUUGCGAAGGCAGUCUACUACGUAUAUACUGACGCUGAGGGACGAAAGCGUGGGGAGCGAACAGGAUUAGAAACCCUAGUAGUUC
rnacentral:rRNA from 1 species